ACUAUGCACAACAUGUAACAACUGGUGACAUUGUAAAGGUUUAUAAAAUAAUUAUUCACAACAGGUAACAUCUGGUGACAUUGUGAAGGUUUAUAAAAAUAACUAUUCACACAGGUAACAUUGUAAAGGUGUAUAAAAAUAACUAUGCACAACAUGUAACAACUGGUGACAUUGUAAAGGUUUAUAAAAAUAACUAUUCACAACAGGUAACAUCUGGUGACAUUGUAAAGGUUUAUAAAAAUAACCAUUCACAACAGGUAACAUCUGGUGACAUUGUGAAGGUUUAUAAAAAUAACUAUUCACACAGGUAACAUUGUAAAGGUGUAUAAAAAUAACUAUGCACAACAUGUAACAACUGGUGACAUUGUAAAGGUUUAUAAAAAUAACCAUUCACAACAUGUAACAUCUGGUGACAUUGAAAAGGUUUAUAAAAAUAAAUAUCCACAACAUGUAACAACUAGUGAGAUUGUAAAGGUUUAUAA